rnacentral:ribozyme from 14 species
UUUUUUUUUUUUUUUUCGUUUUGUUUUAUUUUUAUUGAUACGUUCAUUCUAAAUUCAACUGCCCAAAACAACAGUAGGUAAGAUGCAAGCGCUGUACUUUUGGUUUUGCGUUUUUGAUAAUACACUACAUUAAUGAUGGUGCAUUGUGAUAAACGAGAUGAAACAAUAGAGCAAUGUAUUUUUCGUUUUGUUUUAUUUUAAAUGAUAACACAUAUAUAUCCCCGAUAAAACGUUCAGCAAAGCUAUUCAGCCAAUUCUUCAUAUUGAUCCAAUACCAAUUUCAUCCCAUG